CCUACGGGAGGCUGCAGUGGGGAAUAUUGCACAAUGGGGGGAACCCUGAUGCAGCGACGCCGCGUGGGUGAGGAAGUACUUCGGUAUGUAAAGCCCUAUCAGCAGGGAAGAAAAUGACGGUACCUGACUAAGAAGCCCCGGCUAACUACGUUCCAGCAGCCGCGGUAAUACGUAGGGGGCCAGCGUUAUCCGGAUUUACUGGGUGUAAAGGGAGCGUAGACGGAGUGCCAAGUCUGAUGUGAAAGGCCGGGGCUCAACCCCGGGACUGCAUUGGAAACUGGCAUUCUGGAGUGCAGGAGGGGCGAGCGGAAUUCGUGGUGUAGCGGUGAAAUGCGUAGAUAUUAGGAGGAACACCGGUGGCGAAGGCGGCUCGCUGGACGGUAACUGACGUUGAGGCUCGAAAGCGUGGGGAGCAAACAGGAUUAGAUACCCCUGUAGUC
rnacentral:rRNA from 1 species